AGUGAACGCUGGCGGUAGGCCUAACACAUGCAAGUCGAACGGCAGCACAGUAAGAGCUUGCUCUUACGGGUGGCGAGUGGCGGACGGGUGAGGAAUACAUCGGAAUCUACUUUUUCGUGGGGGAUAACGUAGGGAAACUUACGCUAAUACCGCAUACGACCUACGGGUGAAAGCAGGGGAUCUUCGGACCUUGCGCGAUUGAAUGAGCCGAUGUCGGAUUAGCUAGUUGGCGGGGUAAAGGCCCACCAAGGCAACGAUCCGUAGCUGGUCUGAGAGGAUGAUCAGCCACACUGGAACUGAGACACGGUCCAGACUCCUACGGGAGGCAGCAGUGGGGAAUAUUCGACAAUGGGCGCAAGCCUGAUCCAGCAAUACCGCGUGAGUGAAGAAGGCCUUCGGGUUGUAAAGCCCUGUUGUUGGGAAAGAACAGCAGCAGGUUAAUACCUGGCUGUUCUGACGGUACCCAAAGAAUAAGCACCGGCUAACUUCGUG
rnacentral:rRNA from 1 species